rnacentral:rRNA from 1 species
CCUACGGGAGGCAGCAGUGAGGAAUAUUGGUCAAUGGCCGUAAGGCUGAACCAGCCAAGUCGCGUGAAGGAAGACGGAUCUAUGGUUUGUAAACUUCUUUUAUAGAGGAAUAAAGGUAUCCACGUGUGGAUAUUUGCAUGUACUUUAUGAAUAAGCAUCGGCUAACUCCGUGCCAGCAGCCGCGGUAAUACGGAGGAUGCGAGCGUUAUCCGGAUUUAUUGGGUUUAAAGGGUGCGUAGAUUGUUUUUUAAGUCAGCGGUGAAAGUUUGUGGCUCAACCAUAAAAUUGCAGUUGAUACUGGAAGACUUGAGUAUGUUUGAGGUAGGCGGAAUGCGUGGUGUAGCGGUGAAAUGCUUAGAUAUCACGAAGAACUCCGAUUGCGAAGGCAGCUUACCAGCGCCCGACUGACGCUGAGGCACGAAAGCGUGGGGAUCGAACAGGAUUAGAUACCCCUGUAGUC